UAGGGAAUCUUCGGCAAUGGGGGCAACCCUGACCGAGCAACGCCGCGUGAGUGAAGAAGGUUUUCGGAUCGUAAAGCUCUGUUGUAAGAGAAGAACGUGUGUGAGAGUGGAAAGUUCACACAGUGACGGUAACUUACCAGAAAGGGACGGCUAACUACGUGCCAGCAGCCGCGGUAAUACGUAGGUCCCGAGCUUUGUCCGGAUUUAUUGGGCGUAAAGCGAGCGCAGGCGGUUUAAUAAGUCUGAAGUUAAAGGCAGUGGCUUAACCAUUGUUCGAUUUGGAAACUGGUAAACUUGAGUGCAGAAGGGGAGAGUGGAAUUCCAUGUGUAGCGGUGAAAUGCGUAGAUAUAUGGGGGAACACCGGUGGCGAAAGCGGCUCUCUGGUCUGUAACUGACGCUGAGGCUCGAAAGCGUGGGGAGCAAACAGG
rnacentral:rRNA from 1 species